GCCAGAGUGGUUUAAUGGUUUGGGUGUUAGACUAUGAAUUUGAAGAUCAAGGUUCAAUUCCCUGCUUCA